rnacentral:rRNA from 1 species
AUUGAACGCUGGCGGCAUGCCUUACACAUGCAAGUCGAACGGCAGCACGGGGGGCAACCCCUGGUGGCGAGUGGCGAACGGGUGAGUAAUGUAUCGGAACGUACCCUGUAGCGGGGGAUAACGCGUCGAAAGAUGUGCUAAUACCGCAUACGCUCUACGGAGGAAAGCGGAGGACCGCAAGGCUUCGCACCACAGGAGCGGCCGAUAUCGGAUUAGAUAGUUGGCGGGGUAACGGCCCACCAAGGCAACGAUCCGUAGCUGGUCUGAGAGGACGAUCAGCCACACUGGAACUGACACACGGUCCAGACUCCUACGGGAGGCAGCAGUGGGGAAUUUUGGACAAUGGGCGCAAGCCUGAUCCAGCCAUGCCGCGUGAGUGAAGAAGGCCUUCGGGUUGUAAAGCUCUUUCGGCGGGGACGAAACGGUUCGUGCUAACACCACGGACUAAUGACGGUACCCGAAGAAGAAGCACCGGCUAACUACGUGCCAGCCGCCGCAGUAAAAC